AUUGCCUCAGUAACGGCGAGUGAAGCGGCAACAGCUCAAAUUUGAAAUCUGGCUCCUUCGGGGUCCGAGUUGUAAUUUGUAGAGAGUGCUUCGGGGGAGACCGCGGUCUAAGUCCGUUGGAACAUGGUGUCAUAGAGGGUGAGAAUCCCGUAUGUGACCGCGGCUCGAACCCAUGUGAAGCCUCUUCGACGAGUCGAGUUGUUUGGGAAUGCAGCUCAAAAUGGGUGGUAAAUUUCAUCUAAAGCUAAAUACUGGCUGGAGACCGAUAGCGCACAAGUAGAGUGAUCGAAAGAUGAAAAGCACUUUGGAAAGAGAGUUAAACAGUACGUGAAAUUGUUGAAA
rnacentral:rRNA from 1 species